GUAUCAAAUGAUGAUUAUGGAUGUCAAUUCUCACGACGGUCAUCUGAGAACAGUUUAGUUAGUUCUAUUUUUGAUCUAUUUGGUCUGUGAUGC